AUUCCACCAUUCUGUCUUCCAGGUCACUUAUCCGUUCUUCUGCCUCAGUUUCUCUGCUAUUGAUUCCUUCUGGUGUAUUUUUCAUUUCAGUUAUUGUAUUGUUCAUCUCUGUUUGUUUGUUCUUUAAUUCUUCUAGGUCUUUGUUAAACAUUUCUUGCAUCUUCUCGAUCUUUGUCUCCAUUCCUUUUCCAAGGUCCUAGGUCAUGUUCACUAUCAUUAUUCUGAAUUCUUUCUCUGGAAGGUUGCCACUUCAUUUAGUUGAUUUUCUGGGGUUUUAUCUUGUUCCUUCAUCUGGUACAGAGUCCUCUGCCUUUUCAUUUUGUCUGUCUUCCUGUGAAUGAGGUUUUUGUUCCACAGGCUGCAGGAUUGUAGUUCUUCUUGCUUCUGCUGUCUGCCCUCUGGUAAAUGAGGCUAUCUAAGAGGCUUGUGCAAGCUUCCUAAUGGGAAGGGACUGGUGAUGGGUAGAGCUGGGUGUGCUCUGGUGGACAGAGCUCAGUAAAACUUUAAUCUGCUUGACUGUUGAUGGGUGGGGCUGGGUUCCCUCCCUGUUGGUUGUUUGGCCUGAGGCAACCCAACACUGGAGCCUACCUGGGCUCUUUGGUGGGGCUAAUGGCAGACUCUGGGAGGGCUCAUGCCAAGGAGUACUUCCCAGAACUUCUGCUGCCAGUGUCUUCGUCCCUAUGGUGAGCCACAGCCACCCUCUACCUCUGCAGGAGACCCUCCAACACUAGCAGGUAGGUCUGGUUCAGUCUUCUAUGGGGGUCACUGCUCCUUCCCCCUGGGUCCUGAUGCACACACUACUUUGUGUGUGCCAUCCAAGAAUGGAGUCUCUGUUUCCCCCAGUCCUGUCAAAGUCCUGCAGUCAAAUCCUGCUAGACUUCAAAGUCUGAUUCUCCAGGAAUUCCUCCUCCCGUUGCCAGACCCCCAGGUUGGGAAGCCUGAUGGGCUCAGAACCUUCACUCCAGUGGGUGGACUUCUGUGGUAUAAGUGUUCUCCAGUUUGUGAGUCACCCACCCAGUGGUUAUGGGAUUUGAUUUUAUUGUGAUUGUGCCCUUCCUACCAUCUCAUUGCAACUUCUCCUUUGUCUUUGGAUGUGGGGUAUCUUUUUUGGUGAGUUCCAGUGUCUUCCUGUCAAUGAUUGUUCAGUUAGUUGUGAUUCCAGUGUUCUCACAAGAGUGAGUAAGCGCAUGUCUUUCUACUCCACCAUCUUGAACCAAUCUCGACCUACCAAAGUCUUGAAGGUUUCCACAACUCAAGAAGUGGCUGGAAGAAUGACCACCGUUUUGGAAUAGGGAUGAGAUGAAGACCUCAGGAGACAGACCCAGACAAGGAAGUCAAGAGCAAGCAGCCAUGGGACUGACAUGAAAGACGCCUUGCAAGGACCUCCAACCACUUCUUUAGUGCCGGCCCUUGGAGGAAGGAAAUGCCAACCAGGGCUCUCCACAACAGCCUCCCCUUCUACAUUUAGGAUGAAUCACCAAAGUCAUUUCCUAAGUAAACGUUCUUUUUAGCUCCCUGGAGAAAAGUGUAAAGGAGCUAGUUUUUUGUUUGCUUGUUUGUUUGUUUGUUUCUUUAUUUUUUUGGCUGCGUUGGGUCUUAGCCAGGGCACGUAGGCUUCUCUCUAGUUGUGGCGCGCGGGCUCCAAGGCGUGUGGGCUCUGUAGUUGUGGCACAUGGGCUAUCUCGUUGAGGCACGCGAGCUCAGUAGUUGUGGCUCACAGGCUUAGUUGCCCCGUGGCAUGUGGGACCUUAGUUCCCCAACCAGGCAUGGAACCCGCAUCCCCUGCAUUGGAAGGUGGAUUCUUUACCACUGGACCACCAGGGAAGUCCCAAGGAGCCAGUUUUAAGAGAAGAGAUUCUAAAAAUAUUUUUGGAAAAUUUCAAUAUUGGUUCAGGGAGUUUUAAAAGAAAGAAAAAUUACAGGAAUCACUGUUGGAUGAGAAUCACAUCACAGCUCCAGUUUGUGCCACCUACAAGACUAGUGGGGUUUUUUCAGAGUCAGCCUCAAAGCCAGAAUCAUCUUCCUACAGCAUCGUUUUUAUCCUGUUGCCUCCAUGCUCAAAACCCUCUAGUGGCUUUCCAGGCUCUACAGAAGCAAGCCCAGCAAGUCCGGUGGCCCCACACCAAGCUCAGCACCUCUGAAGCUGCAUAACCCUGACCAGAACCACUUAGCUGGCAUCUAUCACGUCUUGCUUGACUGGUGGUAAUUUUUUUACAUUUAUUUCAGUGAAUAGACCCUAAACUCCUUGAGGGUAGAAUGCCAGGCUGGAUUGCCUUGGAGAAGGAAAUCACUAUCUUUGUGAUAAGUUCGGAGUACCAUGAGUAUUGACAUCAUCAGGAAAAUCCCCAGCCCGAUCUGUCAUGACUAGCACACAAUCUAUUAGCACAUCCAUGUCAUGGCAAUAGACGACCGUGAAGUCUGCCUGUAGCAUGUUAAAUCAGUCAGCAAAGCCCACCAGGUUAGAGAUCAAAUUCAGGACCUGGACUAGAGAUGGGAUUUUGUUCUGUCCUUGGCAGGGAAUGCAGUUCCAGUCCCUGUCACAAAGUGAGGCAGAUUCAUCACCACCUCCAGAAAAACAACUUAAAAAGCACUUGCUGACAUGGCUCCACAAGGCCCUUUGUACACCUACCCCUUUCCAUCUGUAUUGCUUUUAGACACACCUCAGGUUGGGUGGGGGAAUGGGGGAAAAGACUGGGAAUUGUUUGCAUUUUAUUAUUUUUAAAUCUCAAGUUAUGAGUGAUGUUAAAAGUAAAAUGUAUUGAGUAAGCUCAGCUUACUCAGCUGACUGUUGAUGUGAGUGAAAUGCAUGCUCAUUUGCUUACCAAUGUCUUCUUUCCAUGCUGAACACAAAAGGAUUUUUAUUGUGUUUCUAAUUUGAAAUUUAGAUAAUUACAGCAAAUAGACUACUUCUGGAAAGUCACCUUUCCAAUGUACCGCAGACAAGAAGAAAUGAGGGAUUCUUGGUGAUGAUUUACUCUUGGAGAAAUAGACAUUACACUCCUGACCAAACAGCAGAAAUGGAAUGACCUGAAGUACCAUGAUUUUACUGCACAACUUCUCCACAGGCAUCCAUGACGUCUUGGUGAAGGGCACCAGCUUCUCUUGCAUGUCAGCCAUGGCACUGAGUUUGCAGGUGGGGAGAGACAGACAUGGGUCCCAGUUCAUUCUCAUGGGCUCCAGUUUGUCUUUGUUCUCAAUCACACCCAGUUUUCCUACCUUACUGCUGACCUGCUUAACCUAAAGCUACUUUAUAAACUAAUACAACGUUACAUGUCCAUUGAACCUCAAUAAAACUUGGGGAAAAAAUAAAGCUACUUUAAGCUUAACAUUAGAUGAAGAGACAACAGCCUGGCAUAGAUUCCUCCACCAGUUUCUACAAUUGCAAAGUCCAAUCCUUAUAAUAAUUUGGUUUUCUAUGUAACUUAUAGCAGUUCUGGUUCUCUGAUCGAACCCUGAGUGAUACACAUGUAUUGUCUCAUUUAAUCCUCACUAAAAUCCUAGGGGAUAGGCACUAUUAUUAGUCCUAUUUCACAGGUGAAGAACUUGAGAAACAAAGAGAACAGGAAGAGGCUCAGGUGUAGUUAGUCUGGCCUUAUCCUGAUCUACAGAGGGGCUACUUUUUUUUAAACAUCUUUAUUGGAGUAUAAUUGCUUUACAAUGGUGUGUUAGUUUCUGCUUUAUAACAAAGUGAAUCAGUUAUACAUAUGUUCCCAUAUCUCUUCCCUCUUGCAUCUCCCUCCCUCCCACCCUCCCUAUCCCACCCCUCUAGGUGGUCACAAACCACUGAGCUGAUCUCCCUGUGCUAUGCGGCUGCUUCCCACUAGCUAUCUAUUUUACGUUUGGUAAUGUAUAUAUGUCCAUGCCACUCUCUCACUUUGUCAUGUUAGUCACUUCCGUAGCUCUUCAGGCCAGGUAUCUUCCCUCAGCCCAGGACAAUUUUCCAGCUGUGAAACAUUAGCAGCCAACAUUCAGGGAAGCUGGGAAGAUGGUACACCAGCUCAAUAUAGGGGAUCUAGGAGGGGCACCAUGGUCCCUUUGCAGGGUGCUAUCUUGUUUGGCCUCAUUUUUGUCCACCAAAACUCUGUAAGCAGCAAUGCUGGCAAACCUUAUUCCAGCAUCUUCAGACUGCUCUAAGGCCCUUUGGGAACAGUUAGCUCUUCUUCAUGAAACUAGUCUCCAAAACCCCAUUUCUGAAAUGCAUUCCAAAAUAGAAACAACAUCAGUAAUGCAAUAGUAUAAAUUAUUGCUAUCAGAUCAAUCUUCAGUGUACUAGAGGAUCACACUAGGAGUUGUCACUGAGCACUGGGGAUUAGGAAAAGGGAAUCCAAGGGAAAAAGGGACUGGAGGACAGACCCUGGCAAUUCCAAAAUGAGUCUGACUAUUAUCAGAAAAAUCACGUCUUCUGGAUUCAGAUAUAUCCAGUUAUAUUCCAAAGCCUGGAGAGUGUCUGAUGCUCUCUGACUGACAGUCUCCCCAUUGGUUAAAAUGCAAUAAUAAUAUGUGCCUUGUAUAUCUGUUGGAGGGGAAAAUGUUUCAAAAGGCCCCGAAUGCAGUGCUCAUUGUGCACAUAGCUCAAUAAAUGGUAUUUUAUUGCAAAGACAUAUAUCUAUGCUCCCCACUCUCACUCACUGAACUUCUUCAUUCUCCAAUUCCAAACAGAUGGAUUGGAUUUAUCCCCUGCAGAACCCAAACAAAAACCACAAACAGGGAAUUCCCUGGUGAUCCAGUGGUUAGGACUCAGAGCUUUCACUGUCAGGGGCCUGGGUUCGAUCCCUGGUGGGGGAACUAAGAUCCCACAAGCCUCGUGGCAUGGCCAAAAACAAACAAACAAACAACUCAAAUACUAACCAAAAAAGCCAUGGUCUAGAGCACAGCUAAGAAAAGUAGAGUUGCAUUUUUAUUGAGCAAUUUUCUCUGUCUGAAACAUAUUACAAGACACCAAGCACUGGGGAAAGGGGCAGGAAGACAACCCAAAUCCUUUGAGCUGUUUUGUAGAGACUGAAACCCUCACCGGGUGGAAGAAGUUAACUAUUCAAUACAUGAUGAUGACCAGACUGUAGCCAUGACUUAAGCUGCCACAGUUCUGAGAACUGGUCUCAAAUAAAUGGGAACAAACGAAGCCUCGAACUGAAGGCUAACUGUAAUUAAAACAAUCAAGAUGAUGCUGAUCAGACCACCGCAUGAUCAAUUUCAAGAUGACUGUCAGAGCCGACUGUGCUGUUUCUGCAUGUAGCCCUCUCCCUUCACCUAUAAAAGCUCUUGCCCUAUGCCUCCCCACUGCUGGGUUGCUAGCCUCCAACAGAAAACAAACUUUCCUUUCCACCAACCUUGCCUCUUUAUUGGCUUUUGAGCAGUAAGCAACUGGACCCACUUUCGCUAACGGAUUUUUGGCUCCCAACGCGAGACUGCGCUCUCGCGAUAUCUGGCUCCCAGUGGGGUGGGGGCGGUUCCUUCCCCACCAGCAGAGCCACCGCCAUGGCGUGGCGCCAGGAUGGCUGCGAGGAGCCCGCUACUCCUGCAUCACUGGCCCCGGGAGGGGAUUUGGGGGGACAUUCCUAGCAGCUGCCCAAACCAUUCGUUUUGGGAACCCUCCCUGUUUCUCCCCUGUUCGGCACUGGCUGCCAACAAACGCUUUUCCUUGGUGCAACGGAAAGAUGCCUCAGGACGAGCUGACGAGCUCCAAGACCGAGUAAGUCCACCGGUGCGCACGCUGCAAACCUCUUUUGAGCAUGAGGUGCUAUCUGGGCAUUUUGCCCUUUGGUUCUGACGUGUGUCUGAUGUUGAGGACCAUUUUUUUUGGGAAGUGUUCGUCUGGGACUUCGUAUCCGUCCUCUCAGUGCGUUUGUGACAGUUGCUCUCUUCUGGUGUGUGACUGUGUAUUCCAUUUGUGUGAUUGGUAUUCUUGUUGCCUUUUGUAAAAUGGUAAAUUCAGGUUCAAUUCAUUAAGAAAAAUUUUGGCUAUGAACCUAUGGCUAAGAAAGGUUUUUUUUUUAAACAUUGUGUGGUCAACAGUAUUCUUCAGACUCCAGAGAAAACUGGUUAUGAUGUGUAUCACUGCUGGCUUUAAGUUUUCUGCUUGAGGCACAUGUACAAUGUUUGUGUGACAACUGGGUAUAGUUGAUAAAAUGUAUAGCCUAUAAAAUAUUUCCCCAUCAGCAUAUCUCUGCACUUAUUUGUUAUGUCUGAUUAGUUUUCCCCCAACUAAGCAAAUAUAUAAACAAAAAAGUAGGCCUAGCCCCGAGGGACAUGAAUGGACCCAGAGCAGGCAGGAAUCAGCUUAGCUUUGUAGCAUGAGUACUGAAGAGUUUUGAGUAAACCAAGAUGACCAUGUUGUCCUUUGCAUUGCCUUCUGCUAAGGAUCACGAACUGCCAGCAGCCAACCCAUUACUUCUUAUCAUCUAGUGUGAAGUAAUCCUGGAGAAUCUCUCCAUCCCCCAUCCAAACAAUCCACAUGAGCAACCACCAUCUGAUGACUAGGGUCCCUCAUAAGUCUUGUUCAACCCCAUCUCCAGCAUGGACAGGGAGGGAUGGAUACUGGGGACUGUGAAAGCAUGAAUAGAAAAUAUGAAACGCACUUGUCCCACAUCUUCUGUCUUGCCUAUUGUUGGCCCUUUUGAAUUUUACAUUUACCCAAUGAGACUCCAAGAAGCAUCAGAUGCUGUUUAAAGCUGCACAAGUCCACCACCCAGCAGGAACUUGGCCAAGGAGCCAAUUCUAUUCUGCCUCCAGAGUUGUUUGGGAGAAAAGCAGUGGAUAUAAAAAUUUACAUUUGGAUUUUUCUUUCAUUUGUUUAGAAUUUGGUGUCCCUUCCAUUUCUCCUCCCUCUCUUUUCAUCCCAGCUCCAAUUAGAAAAUUCCAUUGUACAAAAUUCCACUCCACAGGAACCUAUAUCAAAUUUAGGAAGCCAUUGGUUUUUAAAGAACCCUCAUUUCAGGAGGGUAGAACAGAGCGUGCCAUGUAAUCAAAGGCAAUUAGAGACAUUCACGCCAUUGUGAAUAUACAUCCUUUGCAUACACAAUUAUGAAGAAUUGUUCAGAGAGCUUACACACUGUGGUGCUGGAUGGUUUCCAGAAGCACUUAAGGCAUAAGAAGCACUUAUUUGGGGCUUGCAAACAUGAGUUUUGUUUGUGUUCUUAUGCAUGUUUGGCAAAUACAAUGCAGGAUCUGCUUUCAGAACAUUUGGCCCUAAAUAAAAAGAAAUGUGUCAGCGAAUCCACCAAGAAGUACACUAAACCCAAAACUUCUGUUGGAUCCAGAAAGAAGCUGAGGAAGACUUUGCUUGUUUUCCAGCUAAAGCCAACAUCUGAAUGCAAUCACCAAGAGUUCUGGCUGCUUUGGCCACAUCUAGCAGAGAUGCAGAAAGCCUCACCAAAAGCCCAGUGCAUUCUUUGUGAAGCUGCCCAACACUUUUAGCACACCUGGGGUCAGUUAGGAAGGCAAGAUGUCCAUGUGAGCAGGAUGAGCUCACCCCGUGCCUUUCAAUGAUCUCAAACAUUUGCCAUCUACCCCAGGACAUGCAAAGUACCACCUACAUGCGUAUUGGAUUUCUUGGAUGCGGCAGGAGAAGGGGAGAAGAACAUGUUUCUGCCAUCUUUAUAUAGUAAAUAAGGAAAGACUACAGUCCAUCUACUAGGGUGAAGUACAACUCCACUUACUCUGUGACUAAGCAAGUUAUAUAAUAUCGGCCUCACUCUCCUUGUUGGUAAAACAAAAAUGAUAAUAGUACCUGCCUCAUGAAGCUGUUGAAGACUGAUAAGAUGACAAAUGUAAAAUGGCCACACCAAGUAACUUCUCAAAGAAUGUAGGCUAAAAGAAUUAAAUUAUUUCAUCAUAUUCUCUCUGUGUCUUCUCCAACUUCCAUGCAGAAAAGUCACCUCCCUUAAAAAAACUUAAAACUUGAUCUACGAUUCACCCUCACAACUGAACACAUCUCCACUUCUUUCUUUCUUUCUUUAUUUUUUUGAUGUGGACCAUUUUUAAAGU